rnacentral:rRNA from 1 species
GUGCCAGCCGCCGCGGUAAUACGGAGGGUGCGAGCGUUAAUCGGAAUUACUGGGCGUAAAGCGCAUGCAGGUGGUUUGUUAAGUCAGAUGUGAAAGCCCGGGGCUCAACCUCGGAACCGCAUUUGAAACUGGCAGGCUAGAGUACUGUAGAGGGGGGUAGAAUUUCAGGUGUAGCGGUGAAAUGCGUAGAGAUCUGAAGGAAUACCAGUGGCGAAGGCGGCCCCCUGGACAGAUACUGACACUCAGAUGCGAAAGCGUGGGGAGCAAACAGGAUUAGAAACCCGAGUAGUCC